rnacentral:rRNA from 1 species
GUUGCAGCCGAGCGGUAGAGAUUCUUCGGAAUCUUGAGAGCGGCGUACGGGUGCGGAACACGUGUGCAACCUGCCUUUAUCUGGGGGAUAGCCUUUCGAAAGGAAGAUUAAUACCCCAUAAUAUAUUGAAUGGCAUCAUUUGAUAUUGAAAACUCCGGUGGAUAGAGAUGGGCACGCGCAAGAUUAGAUAGUUGGUGAGGUAACGGCUCACCAAGUCUACGAUCUUUAGGGGGCCUGAGAGGGUGAUCCCCCACACUGGUACUGAGACACGGACCAGACUCCUACGGGAGGCAGCAGUGAGGAAUAUUGGACAAUGGGUGAGAGCCUGAUCCAGCCAUCCCGCGUGAAGGACGACGGCCCUAUGGGUUGUAAACUUCUUUUGUAUAGGGAUAAACCUAGAUACGUGUAUCUAGCUGAAGGUACUAUACGAAUAAGCACCGGCUAACUCCGUGCCAGCAGCCGCGGUAAUACGGAGGGUGCAAGCGUUAUCCGGAUUUAUUGGGUUUAAAGGGUCCGUAGGCGGAUUUGUAAGUCAGUGGUGAAAUCUCACAGCUUAACUGUGAAACUGCCAUUGAUACUGCAAGUCUUGAGUGUUGUUGAAGUAGCUGGAAUAAGUAGUGUAGCGGUGAAAUGCAUAGAUAUUACUUAGAACACCAAUUGCGAAGGCAGGUUACUAAGCAACAACUGACGCUGAUGGACGAAAGCGUGGGGAGCGAACAGGAUUAGAUACCCUGGUAGUCCACGCCGUAAACGAUGCUAACUCGUUUUUGGGCUUUCGGGUUCAGAGACUAAGCGAAAGUGAUAAGUUAGCCACCUGGGGAGUACGAACGCAAGUUUGAAACUCAAAGGAAUUGACGGGGGCCCGCACAAGCGGUGGAUUAUGUGGUUUAAUUCGAUGAUACGCGAGGAACCUUACCAAGGCUUAAAUGGGAAAUGACAGGUUUAGAAAUAGACUUUUCUUCGGACAUUUUUCAAGGUGCUGCAUGGUUGUCGUCAGCUCGUGCCGUGAGGUGUUAGGUUAAGUCCUGCAACGAGCGCAACCCCUGUCACUAGUUGCCAUCAUUAAGUUGGGGACUCUAGUGAGACUGCCUACGCAAGUAGAGAGGAAGGUGGGGAUGACGUCAAAUCAUCACGGCCCUUACGCCUUGGGCCACACACGUAAUACAAUGGCCGGUACAGAGGGCAGCUACACUGCGAAGUGAUGCAAAUCUCGAAAGCCGGUCUCAGUUCGGAUUGGAGUCUGCAACUCGACUCUAUGAAGCUGGAAUCGCUAGUAAUCGCGCAUCAGCCAUGGCGCGGUGAAUACGUUCCCGGGCCUUGUACACACCGCCCGUCAAGCCAUGGAAGUCUGGGGUACCUGAAGUCGGUGACCGUAACAGAGCUU